AGCUCCAAUAGCGUAUACUAAUGUUGUUGCAGUUAAAAAGCUCGUAGUCGGAUUUCAGCUUUGUUUAUCUUUUCCUACCAGGAUGGGAUACGCAGGGCUUCUUUAACGGAAGUAUUCCUGGCAUUUAUUUGUCGGGUUUUUCAACCGUUUCUUUUACUUUGAGAAAAUUAGAGUGUUCAAAGCAGGCAUUGCCUGAAUAUUACUCUUGGAAUAAUAAUAGAUGACUCUGAUGCUAGUUUGUUGGUGCACUGGUGUCGGAGUAAUGAUUAAUAGCGACGGUUGGGGUCAUUCGUACUGCAAAGCGAGAGGUGAAAUUCUUGGACCUUUGUAUGACGAACAACUGCGAAAGCAUUUGACUAGGACGUUCGCG
rnacentral:rRNA from 1 species